UAAUACGUAGGGGGCAAGCGUUGUCCGGAUUUACUGGGUGUAAAGGGCGCGUAGGCGGAUUUAUAAGUCAGAGGUGAAAUCCUGCAGCUUAACUGUAGAAUUGCCUUUGAUACUGUAGAUCUUGAGUUCGGAAGAGAGUAGCGGAAUUCCAGGUGUAGUGGUGAAAUACGUAGAUAUCUGGAAGAACACCAGUGGCGAAGGCGGCUACUUGGUCCGUAACUGACGCUGAGGCGCGAAAGCGUGGGGAGCAAACAGG
rnacentral:rRNA from 1 species